GGGGGUUGGAACUACAUGAUCCUUGAGGUCCCUUCCAACCCGGGUCAUUCUGUGAAUCUGUGUGAUUCUGUGAUUUAAAAAAUACUGCCUUCACAGAUGGUAGAAUAUUUGUAGUUUUAGGGAGAGGUAGCAGACACUGCUGAUCUGGGUGUUCAAAGGAAAGGUCCCCUCCACCCUUCAUGCUACUGAUGCUGCUUGGAGUAAGUGGGCUGAGUUGAUUGCACAACGAGCGCGGAUAGAGAACCUCAGUCAUCCAGGAAUCUUAGAGAUGAUCAUGGAGUGACCUGAAGGUAAAAAAUUAAGCACAUCACCAGGAGGUGUAAUGUGCUGAAGAGGCUCCAUUGUACAAGGAACUACCAGAAAAUGAAAUCUGCCCCACUCAUGGAUGGAUCAUGUAUUGGGAGACGUUGCAGAUGGAAAGCUGCUGUGUGGAGCCCCACACAACAAGUUGCAGAGGCCCCAGAAGGAAAAGGAGAAUCAAGCCAAUUUGCAGAGGUAAAGUGUGUCCAGCUGGCCAUGGAUGUCGCUGAACAGGAGAAGCGGCCAGUGCUUUAUACUGGCUCAUGGAUGGUGGCAAAUGCCUUAUGGAGGUGGUUACAGCAGUGGGAACAAAACAACUGGCAGCAGAGGGGUAAACCUUAAAAGUGCAUUUUACAGAGCACUGGCCAAUAACCAUCAUGUUUAUGAUUCCACACAGCAAACUGUACCACUUAAAUAUUAAAAAUCCUCACCCUUAACACUGUACAUAAUUGACAUACUGAAAUGGAAGAAAACACAAUGGUUGGUCUGUCAUUCAAAGCGUAACUGCAGCAAGGAAGUUCAAGCUAAGGAAGAAGAACUAACAAGCUGAACCCCUCGCUGAAAAUUCAGAAAUCCUAAAUGUGGGGAAAAUCCCACAACCCAACAACCUCUGAAAAGAAAACAUUAAAGUAUGCAGUACAAAGACCUGUGAAUAUGCCUGGAAAAUUAAGCUUCCCUGUCUUUAGGCUCAUCACCAUACGCUUAGUGUUUUCUACAUGGAAAACCUAGACCUCAAGAACUACAGGAAUAGUUUCUGAUAUUUUACAGCUGAGUCUUGAUACUUUCAUAAUACGUUCAAUGAGAAAUUGAUACAUUUAUAUAGUGUAUUUAACUCAUGGGAAAACUAUUCUUGAGACGUAGUCCGAAAUAGCAGGUAACUGAGAUAGUAGGCAGUAAUCAAGUUGUCAGUCCUGAACUGCUACUUUCCCACUUAGCAGCAGAUGGCACUCACACUCAGCCACAGAGCAAGUUAGAACUGCUCAUCCCCUUUCUGUUUACAGCCAUCUACAGCUGCCUUUCCGUCAGAUGACUCAAAUAUAUCACCUUCCAACUAUUAAAGUUCUUGAUCCUAGAAACUAAGACUUACAUUCUUAUUCAUCCAAGUCAUCACUUGAAUCAUUCUCGUCUCAUGUGUUUCAGAUUUCCAAGCUUAUCAUUCUUUGUGGUUUUUAUAAUCAUCGUCUCAUUUUAAGUUACGUCUUACACACACACACACAGAUUCCACUUUGUCGUUGCAGUAAGAAGAGAGAUCUUCACCACCCUACAUCCCUCACUGGGAAAACAUGAGGUCAAAUUCUUGAGCCUCACUGAGAAGCACAAUCAUGAAUUAGUUCCAAAGACUGGGAUAAACUCAACUGUUCAGUUUUUUGGAUGAAGACUUGCUGUGAUCACAAGACAUGCUGAGAUUACCUUUGGGAGCGCUGACCUGGUGACUAAGAAUUACUCUACUGGAAAUGUGUUCUCAGUUCAAAAUUAAGCUGCUCUUUCUUCCUGACAGGAUGAAAUACAUCCCACUGGAAAUACCAAUCCUGCAAGCUGAAGAAAAUCAUUACCUAUUCUAAGAUCACUAUUCAGAGCUUAAUUGUUUUGGUUUUCUUUGGGUCAUCAUAGGCUUUCAGUCUUCUGGGAGGAAAACAACCAGAAACAAUGAAAGGCUCGUACUCGUUAAGAUGGAAAAUUUCUCAACUCUGUGCUUUAAUAAGAGCAACUAAAUUACAUAGCUGCUGCCUAUUUUCACACUACAUGAAAUGCAUUUUCAUUUUUGAGGAUAGAUCUCACUGUUGAUUCACUUGCUCUGAAGAAAACCUCAAACAUGCAGCUAGGUGAUACUGACCAAGAAUGGAGCUAAAAACAAGCAAUGGAAUUCAGACAGUGAGUCCAAGCUUUUAUCACAAAUGAUGAGACUGAACUACUAGAUAAACUAUUUGUUACUGUUCCACCUUCCACUGGAAUACAGCAGAAUUGCCUCAGACAUAAUUCAAUAUAAUUCACUUUAAGUUCACAUCUACACUGACAGGUAAUUCAGAACAUGAGACUUAUGCUGGCAAAUGAGUACUUUGUAAAAUUUCUUUAAAUACUAGCAAAUAAUAAUUCCUCUCUAAGUCAUUUAUGCUUAUCUGCACUUCUCUAUGUACUUGGACUUCUAGGACUCCAAGAAAAAUGCUGAGCACAAAGUAGUCAAAUCCCAUGGAGAAGAUAAGAUUAUCAACAAGAAGUCUUACCAGAUGAAAAUGAUAGUUACUGCACUUCCUCAAAAUCCAGGCUGGUGCAAACGAUUCUUCAUCAGCAUGCAUCACCACAGUUUUUACUACACCUGAAAUAGCGAACACUCUGGUAAUACAGACCCACUUGUCAAAGUCCUACGGGAAAAACACUGAUAAAUCUUUCCAACUUUUGAAAAGCAGAACUGCUGGAAAUGAGAAAUUUGUGCUAAGAGAGAUCAUUUCUAAGAGGUCAUCGUGUUUGAGCCCUUAUCAGCUCAGUGGUUCACAGAGCAUCCUGCAGAAAAGGGCACAGCUAGUCCAUCUCUAACAGCAACGAUGACAACAGCUGCAUGACUACUAAGGAAAACAGCUGCUGGUUUUUAAAUCAAUGAAUAUCUGAAAAUCCAGGCAUUAUCAUAUAUUAAAAAUUACUUUUAGCAUA